rnacentral:rRNA from 1 species
ACGGCUCAGUAACACGUGGACAACCUACCCUUGGGUUCGGCAUAAUCCUGGGAAACUGGGGAUAAUACCGGAUAGGUCACAGCUGCUGGAAUGCACUGUGGCUCAAAGCUCCGGCGCCCAAGGAUGGGUCUGCGGCCUAUCAGGGUUGUAGUGGGUGUAAUGUACCUACUAGCCUACGACGGGUACGGGUUGUGAGAGCAAGAGCCCGGAGAUGGAUUCUGAGACACGAAUCCAGGCCCUACGGGGUGCAGCAGGCGCGAAAACUUUACAAUGCGGGAAACCGUGAUAAGGGAAUCUCGAGUGCCAGCAUAUAAUGUUGGCUGUCCAGAUGCCUAAAAAGCAUCUGUUAGCAAGGGGCCGGGCAAGACCGGUGCCAGCCGCCGCGGUAACACCGGCGGCCCGAGUGGGUAACCGCUAUUAUUGGGUCUAAAGGGUCUGUAGCCGGCCAGGUAAGUCCCUUGGGAAAUCUGGCAGCUCAACUGUCAGGCUGCUAGGGGAUACUGUUUGGCUUGGGACCGGGAGAGGUGAGAGGUACCUUGGGGGUAGGGGUGAAAUCUUGUGAUCCUCGGGGGACCACCAGUGGCGAAGGCGUCUCACCAGAACGGGUCCGACGGUAAGGGACGAAAGCUAGGGGCACGAACCGGAUUAGAUACCCCGGGUAGUCCUAGCCGUAAACGAUGCUCGCUAAGGUGUCAGUCACGGUGCGACCGGUGAUUGGUGCCGGUAGGGAAGCCGUGAAGCGAGCAUCUGGGGAAGUAUGGCCCGCAAGGCUGAACUUAAGGAAUUUGGGCGGGGGAGCAC